rnacentral:rRNA from 1 species
ACGGGUGAGUAAUAUAUCGGAACGUACCCUGGAGUGGGGGAUAACGUAGCGAAAGUUACGCUAAUACCGCAUACGAUCCAAGGAUGAAAGCAGGGGACCGCAAGGCCUUGUGCUCCAGGAGCGGCCGAUAUCUGAUUAGCUAGUUGGUGGGGUAAAGGCCUACCAAGGCAUCGAUCAGUAGCUGGUCUGAGAGGACGACCAGCCACACUGGAACUGAGACACGGUCCAGACUCCUACGGGAGGCAGCAGUGGGGAAUUUUGGACAAUGGGCGCAAGCCUGAUCCAGCAAUGCCGCGUGAGUGAAGAAGGCCUUCGGGUUGUAAAGCUCUUUUGUCAGGGAAGAAACGGGUGGGGCUAAUAUCCCCAUCUAAUGACGGUACCUGAAGAAUAAGCACCGGCUAACUACGUGCCAGCAGCCGCGGUAAUACGUAGGGUGCAAGCGUUAAUCGGAAUUACUGGGCGUAAAGCGUGCGCAGGCGGUUUUGUAAGUCUGUCGUGAAAUCCCCGGGCUCAACCUGGGAAUUGCGAUGGAGACUGCAAGGCUAGAAUCUGGCAGAGGGGGGUAGAAUUCCACGUGUAGCAGUG